AAAAAUUAUUUCUCUAAACUUUUUCUUUACUAUCUUGAAGUUUGUGGUGAUAUUGUGUUUACUUCGAAGAGUUCUCAGCCCUGUGAAAACUUCAAGUCAGACACUACCCGACAUCAAAUCAAACUACAUAUCGACCAACUAUGCCAACAACUGGCUUGAUCAGACGAGAUUUAAAUCAACUUCAACCAGUUAUGGCUCCUCCUUCGACUAGUGGUAUUGUAAUUGAAGAUGCAAUCCAAUUUCAAACCAUGAUGUCUCCUCCAGCACAAAUUAAUAAUACUUUUGAGGGACUUCAGUCGUCGGGUAACAUUCCAACAAAUAAUUAUGAUGGUGAGAGUGGAGCUGAUCAAAGGAAUUAUUAUGAGAAUUGAUGAAUUUGAAUAAUUUCAUAAUUUUAUUUUUGAUCUGUAUGAACACAUUUAUCUUGUCUUAGUUAAUUAUUGUGUGUUUAA